UCCGUUGUAGUCCUAGUUGGUUAGGAAUACUCGGCUCUCACCCGAGAGACGCCGGGUUCAAGUCCCGGCAACGGAA